ACCAGCUUGGCAAAGUGGUUUGAGUGUUGGACUAUGACUCCGGAGACCAGGGUUCGAUUCCCAGCUUGGGCA